rnacentral:rRNA from 1 species
UCAUAUGCAUCUGAAUAUAGCCAACCUCGUCUGACUUCAGAAGCUAAGCAGGGUCCACUCUGGUUAGUACAUGGAUGGGAGACCACAACUGCAUACCAGGGA